rnacentral:rRNA from 1 species
CCUACGGGUGGCAGCAGUGGGGAAUAUUGGACAAUGGGGGCAACCCUGAUCCAGCCAUGCCGCGUGUGUGAAGAAGGCCCUCGGGUUGUAAAGCACUUUCAGUGAGGAAGAACGCCUGGUGGUUAAUACCCAUCAGGAAAGACAUCACUCACAGAAGAAGCACCGGCUAACUCCGUGCCAGCAGCCGCGGUAAUACGGAGGGUGCGAGCGUUAAUCGGAAUUACUGGGCGUAAAGCGCGCGUAGGUGGCUUGAUAAGCCGGUUGUGAAAGCCCCGGGCUCAACCUGGGACCGGCAUCCGGAACUGUCAAGCUAGAGUGCAGGAGAGGAAGGUAGAAUUCCCGGUGUAGCGGUGAAAUGCGUAGAGAUCGGGAGGAAUACCAGUGGCGAAGGCGGCCUUCUGGACUGACACUGACACUGAGGUGCGAAAGCGUGGGUAGCAAACCGGAUUAGAUACCCUAGUAGUC